ACACAUGCAAGUCGAACGGAAAGGCCCUGCUUUUGUGGGGUGCUCGAGUGGCGAACGGGUGAGUAACACGUGAGUAACCUGCCCUUGACUUUGGGAUAACUUCAGGAAACUGGGGCUAAUACCGGAUAGGAGCUCCUGCUGCAUGGUGGGGGUUGGAAAGUUUCGGCGGUUGGGGAUGGACUCGCGGCUUAUCAGCUUGUUGGUGGGGUAGUGGCUUACCAAGGCUUUGACGGGUAGCCGGCCUGAGAGGGUGACCGGCCACAUUGGGACUGAGAUACGGCCCAGACUCCUACGGGAGGCAGCAGUGGGGAAUAUUGCACAAUGGGCGGAAGCCUGAUGCAGCAACGCCGCGUGCGGGAUGACGGCCUUCGGGUUGUAAACCGCUUUCGCCUGUGACGAAGCGUGAGUGACGGUAAUGGGUAAAGAAGCACCGGCUAACUACGUGCCAGCAGCCGCGGUGAUACGUAGGGUGCGAGCGUUGUCCGGAUUUAUUGGGCGUAAAGGGCUCGUAGGUGGUUGAUCGCGUCGGAAGUGUAAUCUUGGGGCUUAACCCUGAGCGUGCUUUCGAUACGGGUUGACUUGAGGAAGGUAGGGGAGAAUGGAAUUCCUGGUGGAGCGGUGGAAUGCGCAGAUAUCAGGAGGAACACCAGUGGCGAAGGCGGUUCUCUGGGCCUUUCCUGACGCUGAGGAGCGAAAGCGUGGGGAGCGAACAGGCUUAGAUACCCUGGUAGUCCACGCUGUAAACGGUGGGUACUAGGUGUGGGGUCCAUUCCACGGGUUCCAUGCCGUAGCUAACGCUUUAAGUACCCCGCCUGGGGAGUACGGCCGCAAGGCUAAAACUCAAAGGAAUUGACGGGGCCCCGCACAAGCGGCGGAGCAUGCGGAUUAAUUCGAUGCAACGCGUAGAACCUUACCUGGGUUUGACAUGGAUCGGGAGUGCUCAGAGAUGGGUGUGCCUCUUUUGGGGUCGGUUCACAGGUGGUGCAUGGCUGUCGUCAGCUCGUGUCGUGAGAUGUUGGGUUAAGUCCCGCAACGAGCGCAACCCUUGUUCACUGUUGCCAGCACGUUAUGGUGGGGACUCAGUGGAGACCGCCGGGGUCAACUCGGAGGAAGGUGGGGAUGACGUCAAGUCAUCAUGCCCCUUAUGUCCAGGGCUUCACGCAUGCUACAAUGGCUGGUACAGAGAGUGGCGAGCCUGUGAGGGUGAGCGAAUCUCGGAAAGCCGGUCUCAGUUCGGAUUGGGGUCUGCAACUCGACCUCAUGAAGUCGGAGUCGCUAGUAAUCGCAGAUCAGCAACGCUGCGGUGAAUACGUUCCCGGGGCUUGUACACACCGCCCGUCAAGUCAUGAAAGUUGGUAACACCCGAAGCCGGUGGCCUAACCGUUGUGGGGGAGCCGUCGAAGGUGGGACUGGUGAUU
rnacentral:rRNA from 1 species